GAAAAAAAAAAUUAUAAUUAAAAAUAAUAAUAAUAAUAUUAAAUAACUUAAACAAGUGACCUGAUUGAAUGAAAUAAAGAAUACAUCUAUACAAGAAAAUUCAGAUUUUACGAUCAAUAUAUCUGCCAGCGUUCAAGUCAUGCAUAUCAACUGCGUGCUCAAUCUGCUGACAGACACUGCAUAAUACUCAAGGUUAAGUUGGAAGGGACAUAUAUAAGCAUGUCAUCUAAAAGGACGUAUCUCUCUGGUGCCCAAAAACGGAAAAAGAAAAGGACAGAAGAUGAGAAAAAAGAGCAAGAUAAAGGAACACUGUUGAAGUAUUUUGGAGCACAACCAACUGUACCUGCCCCCGAUGUGUCAUCAAGUGUCAGUGCCUCCACAGCUGAUGAUACAGCAGGUGAGGUUUUUCUUGAUGGCAAAUGGCUACAUAGUCUUUUAAUAUGACAUGACACAUUUAAAAAAAAAUAAUUACAUUUUUUUUAUUUGUUGAUUUAUUUAUUUUAUCUUUGCAGGUUCACCCCCAGCAGACUUACAGUCACCUGAAAGUGAGGAAGAACUUUUACCCAUUGAGGAACAGUUACCAGCAUUGACAGUCACUGAUACACCGACUUCAACCUCUGCCGGCAUAACAGGUCAGUUAAUCUAACAGUUUUUGUUUUGUGUUGCCUUACUUAACUGUGAAAUAUCUUGUGUUAUGUUAUGAUUCUAUUUUUGUAUCUUUGUAUUAGUAUUAAUAGCAAAGUUGGCCAAGCAAUAUCAUAUAAUGAUGUCAUCAAUGACUUUGCCUCCCGAAAAGCUAGGAAGGAAAGAUUUUGAGGACAGUUACAUUGUAUUGAGACAGUUGGGAAUAUUUUCACAAUAAUUGAUUGUUGAACCCUUGCUGUCAUGUAAGUGACUUAUCAGUUUUGUUAUUAUCGUUUAUUUGAAUGUUUUGAAACAGUUUGAUUUUAGAAGUUCCAAAUAGUUAGUUUAAAAGGUUAAUUGAAUACUGAGUCACUUUCAUUAUUUAAUCUAUGUAUCUAUGUAACGUUCUAUUUUUUAUUAUAUUCAUGCUUGUCUAUUUUGGUUUUAUUUUGUAAUUGGAAAUUGCUAACUUAAUACGCAUUUGCACAGUUGCAAAUUAUUUAUUUAAUAUGUUUGUGAUCGUUUGUUUGGAAUACAGAGGCACUAUCAUUAUUUAUUUUUUAUUUUUUAAUGUUAUUUUUGAUAAUACUAAUGUUUGUGUAUUUUGAUUUCAGUUUAAGAUUGCACAUUUACAAAUCUGUUGAAAGAUCUGUUUAUUAAACUGAUACUUUAAAAAAAAAUACAAAUGCUGUUGUAUUUAAUUAUUUUACAAUUUAACUUCAGUAAACCACACUUGAUGCUUUACUUUGAAUAUGAAAGUUUAAAAUAAAUCUGUGAUCUAAGUGCCCUCUAAGGUUAAAAGGUGACUGUUUUGGUGUAAAUAACGACUAUAAUAAUACAGGGGUCUAUCAAGGGACAAAAGUCUAGAAUAUUUUUGGCAUGAGAGCAACUGAAUGAGCCUUCCAGGCCCAAGAGGUCAAGGGGCACUGAAGCCCAAGCCCAAGUCACCAUCUCAAUAAGUCAAAAAGCAAAAUGCUAUGAAUAUGCUUAAAUUUAGGUAUUUCCCUUCUCCAGCUGGCCAUAUAAAAAAUA